rnacentral:rRNA from 1 species
GCAGUCGAGCGGGGGAGCAAUCCCUAGCGGCGAACGGUCGCGUAACACGUAAGCAAUCUGCCCGAAAGACCGGGACAACAGUUCGAAAGGACUGCUAAUACCGGAUGUGCCCACCAUUUCGCAUGUUAUGGUGAGUAAAUCCCUCACGGGGCUUUUGGAGGAGCUUGCGGCCUAUCAGGUAGUUGGUGGGGUAACGGCCUACCAAGCCUACGACGGGUAGCUGGUCUGAGAGGAUGUCCAGCCGGACUGGGACUGAGAGACGGCCCAGACUCCUACGGGGGGCAGCAAUUAGGAAUCUUGUGCAAUGGGGGCAACCCUGACACAGCGACGCCGCGUGAGGGAGGAAGGCCUUCGGGUUGUAAACCUCUUUUAACGAGGAAGAAACAAAUGACGGUACUCGUUGAAUAAGCCCCGGCUAACUCCGUGCCAGCAGCCGCGGUAAUACGGGGGGGGCGAGCGUUGUCCGAAGUUACUGGGCGUAAAGAGCGCGUAGGCGGGUUGGCAAGUCUGCUGUGAAAGCCCGGUGCUUAACGCCGGAGGGUCGGUGGAUACUGCCAGUCUUGAAGGUGCUAGGGAGAGAUGGAAUUACCAGUGUAGCGGUGAAAUGCGUAGAUAUUGGUAGGAACACCAGUGGCGAAGGCGGUCUCUUGGAGCACUCUUGACGCUGAGGCGCGAAAGCUGGGGGAGCAAACGGGAUUAGAUACCCCGGUAGUCCCAGCCCUAAACGAUGGAUACUAGGUGUCGCGGGUAUCGACCCCUGCGGUGCCGCCGCUAACGCAGUAAGUAUCCCGCCUGGGGAGUACGGCCGCAAGGUUGAAACUCAAAGGAAUUGACGGGGGCCCGCACAAGCGGUGGAGCAUGUUGUUUAAUACGUCACUAACCGUAGAACCUUACCAGGGUUUGACAUCGGAGGCACCGCCAUGAAAGUGGCGUCCGUAGCAAUACGGCCUCCAGACAGGUGUUGCAUGGCUGUCGUCAGCUCGUGUCGUGAGAUGUUGGGUUAAGUCCCGCAACGAGCGCAACCCUCAUCCCAUGUUGCCAGCGCGUGAAGGCGGGAACUCUUGGGAAACUGCCGGGGUAACUCGGAGGAAGGUGAGGACGACGUCAAGUCAGCAUGGCCCUUACACCCUGGGCUACAAACAUGCUACAAUGGACGGUAAACAAAGGGAACCGAAGCCGCGAGGUAGGGGAAAUCUCAAAAAUCCGUUCUCAGCUCGGAUCGUAGGCUGCAACUCGCCUACGUGAAGCUGGAAUCGCUAGUAACCGCAGUCAGC